rnacentral:snoRNA from 1 species
AAUUCUUGCAUCGAACAUUUCCAAAGUAAUUCCUUAAAUCAUUCCCAAGCUUCAUAUAGUGCCUCAUCUUUUAAUUGAGGAAAAUAUGUGAUGUCAUUUCUAAGCUU